GAAACUAUAGGUUAAGAGAGUAAACCUUUGGCCUUCAAAGCCGACAAUGAAUAAAUCUAGUUUUGGUGUUU
rnacentral:tRNA from 1 species